rnacentral:lncRNA from 1 species
AAACCCUUGCUCAGAUCCCAUCCCCCCAUCGCACCUUUCCUCCCUCGUCCCCAUCUCCUCGCCACUGUCGCCACCUCCUCCCCGUCCCCGCCCCCUUCCAAUCCAGUCCUCUCCCCGCCGCUUACGCCCAUCGCCGACCUCGCCAUCCUCCUCACCCACCAUUCCCCGUUCCACAUACCUCCCCGUUCCCCGUUCCCCUCCAUUUUCUACCUCUCUCGUAGGAUCCAGAUCCAGGGGAGCUCCCUCCCUCUCCCGCGGGAUGCAGAUCUAGGAGUUCAUCCUGCACCCUGCAACCGUCAGUCCGGGUCGAGCUGACCCCGACCCGAUCAGAUCCCUCGUUGCCCGGCCUCCUCAGAUCUCCCCACACGCUCAAAUUCUCGACACAGAGGUUGGUGGCACUGCGGUGCUGCUGCUGGUGCCGCUCAAUUGAUUUGAUUGGUGGGAAAUCCGUCUCUUGUCGUGGUUGCUCGAUCGAUAUGUGAUAUUCUUCGUGUUGCGCAGGUCUUGCCGGUGGGGGUCCGCGUCAGGAAGCUUGUUGGCUGCUGCUGCUUCUUGCUUUGGGUGCGCUAUAGCGAACCCGGCCGACGGAGAUGGGAGUGUUAGGGGAGAAGUUCCAUCUGGGGACGGUGGGGGAGCUCAGCCUGUCCGUGGUCUCCUCGGUCUCCAUUGUCAUAUGCAACAAGGCUCUCAUGAGCGCCCUUGGCUUCAUCUUCGGUAUGAGAUCCAAUCUCGCGCUCUCCAGAUGUGCUCCACUCUGUGUCUUUGCUACUGGCGCUUCGCCUCCCUGGAUGCUUGGGAUUUUAGCAUGCUAUUAUUUGUAACUUGUAAGCACCAAGAUGCUUUGUUCUUUGCUAUUAGUAGAUACUCACUCUCAUUCAUUGCUCUUGUAGUACCUCACGUAAUUUAAUUGUAUACAUGCAACACUUAAUGGGAUUGUUGUGUAAUUCAUAAUAAGCAUGCAUCGACAGUAGGUGUGCUCAGUGCAUGCAUCAACAACUAUCUAUAUGUUUGGUUUGGAUUGAUUUGGUUUGAUUGUUGGACUUGUAAAAUCUGUGUUGACAGUCAUGAGCUAUUAUUGUUGGUAAUCUAAAUUAUUCUACAUAUAAAGUGUCCGGAUAAAUAUUCGUUGUAAAUAUUCUGCAUAUAUAAUGUUCAAUUGGAUCUAUAAGAUCUCAGUUUAUUGUACUAUUAAUGGUGAGAAUAUUCUUACAAAUUCUUACGAGAGUUUCAGACCUACAAGACACACAAACAUAAUGAAUUGAUGUUUUUAUAUGCCAUGGAAUUUUGAGCAGAUUCUUCAGCUGUCAGAUGAGGCGGAGAAACUCUUCUUGAAGCACUUAGCAGGCAACAACACGAGGUGCUGGUGACAUCCAUUAAUAUGAGUUAGGCUAAACGUGUGUUUUGUGAGAAUGCAACCUUUUGGGAAUUCUCGUCUUUUCUUUUGCGGUAAUAUAAUGAUAUUAAAUGUUUGCUAGUUGCUAUAUAUGGGCAAGACGAAUUGAAUUGAAUCAUGCUAUUUUAUUUCUCAUGUAUGCACACAAAUUAUUGUCACUCAUGAACAACAAGCAAACAUACUAGUUACUACAUAUGUGUUCCAUAUAUUGUUGUACGUAUUAUUUAUUUCAAACCUCUAUUACUAGUGCCUCCAGCAAAUGCUCUGCUUAGGAAAAAGGUUGCAAAACCUCUAGUCAUCCAGUGUGAUUGCAAUGAAUUUGUUUAUAUAUAUAAAUAUGAUGUUAGGUUUACUUCUAUUUUGCCAACUCCAAUCAUCCAAAAGUUAGUACAGUACUGAAACUGAACCUAUUUCCAAAAUAUUUGUUAUUUUUGUUAUCUUUAUAAGGCAAAGUUUUCGCCAAGUGGUUGAAUGACAUUAUUAUGUGAUUGGGGCUCACAUUGAUGAAAAUAAUAUAGGAAUUCUGCACCCGAGUAAUCAUUUAUUAGAACAACCAACUCCGUUUGUAGUUUGCUCCUCUCGACAAUAGGAUGAGGCUGGUAAUAUGCAUAUAAUCAUCCAUCUAUGGCGUGAAUCCGUUAGCUGGUUAUAUUUUCAACUACAUCUCCUACUUACUACUAACAUUGCAUCUAAUUGGCUUCGUGCGCCAUUCGCGCAACCGGGUCAUCUAGUAGGAAUGAAAAGCUGCAUUAUCUCCCUUAGCACUGAAUUAUGAGAAAACAUUGCACCUUGUAUUCUCUGCUUAUUUUGGUCCUCUCCUAUAGCCUGACGUCCAGUUUCCCUUGAACAAGAGUGAUAAGUAGUUACCACUCUUUUAGAUGUAAGAGUGAAUGUACAGGCAGAGCUGACUAUGUACUGGUAUUCUAUUAUUUCUAAAGUUCAGGCACAAGCAGAAUUGGUUUGUGGUAUGCUCGAUUCUGUUACAAGGUGAUAGUAGAAAGCACUCUUGUUUUGCAAUGUACUGUAUUAAUUGUUGAGAUUUUCCAGAAAAAAAUAAAGCAUCUGAUCAUAUAGUUGUUUAUCAUUGUCUGACAUGUAAAGAUUAAAUUUGUUUAUUAGUAUCUCACAUGUAAAGAUCAAAUUUGUUUUCGAGCACGACAAGAAGGAAAAUAUUUCCACUAUCCGCUAUAUAUCACCACUCUGUGUUGUAGCUCCUAGAAAGUCUUCAGUUAGAACUUAAAUGUAAUUGUACUCUAUUGCAAAUAUUUUAAACAAAUAAUAUUUUAUUGAUGCUCAUAUCUGUUAGACUACUCUAACUAGAGAUUGUUGAACAAGUAUGAUUCGUUGGAUAAGCAUAUAGUUUGCAUCGUAGCAACCAAAUCGUUGUAAAUGUAGCUGGAAAAAAUCAUUGUAAAUGUGAACAAAGAGGUGGACAUGCGCCCAUACGUGUUAAGUUAAGCAGUGUAUGUGUAUGUCAUCCAGAUUAUGUUAGAAUAAUGCAUCAACUUGAGAUAUUUCUAAUUUGGUUAUGCUAGAAUAACGCAUCAACUUGAGAUAUGCUUGGUUGUCAAAAUGAUAGUAAAAUGUAGGCUCUUACAUGGUUCUUAAAUUAAGUUUUCUAUUUUACUGCUAACAAAUAUUGCCUAUGUUGAGACUAUAAACAUGUGGAUGCUCCUCUCAUUUACAGGAGUUCUAGACGAAGAAAUUCGAAGAAAGCUCGAAGCCCGAGUUAGCGACUUGCUUUAUAUGUUAUUGAACUUGUAAUGCUAAAUUUGUUGAGAAUUUUUAUGACCUGGUGAACAUGUUAUGCAAGAUGUUAUUUGUUGUUUACUUGAAAUGCAUUCCUGGAUUGAUAUUGAUUAAAAAAGUGUGAAUAUAUAUAUAUGUUCUAUUGAUUUUUUGCUGAUUCUGUAUUUCUAUUCUAUAAAACAAGAUGCAUGGUCCGAAUGGAAAGAGGCCCAAAUCUAUUUGUGCUUUAAAAAGAGGCCCAAAAUAUAUUGGCAUGAAUUAAGGCUGAAAAUUAAAUAUAAAUGUGUAAAAAACAUCGAGGACC